rnacentral:lncRNA from 1 species
UUUUUAGAUAGUUAUUUAUUUCUUGAAUAUAUAUUUUAUUGGUUAAUUUAACCUACAAAAUUACUAAUAAAAGAAAUAGGUUUACAAUUUUUAUACUCCACCGUGAUAAUUGAUGAAACCCAAUCCAACACUUGGUGGUAAUUCAAAUGGAACGCUGGCCCCUCAUUCCAUUAUCUGAUGCCUUGCCGACCCAUGUGUGUGAAGGAUAUUCUUUUUGACAAAGACACUAUGGAUCAUCUUCAUUUCCUAAAAGAAACGUAAUUGUUGAGCUUAAACAAGUAGCAUACCUAUGUGAUGGGAAUUCGUUGAUAGUAUCAAAGGAAACACAAAAUUGUAUGUUUGAAUUGGUGACGAGUUUGGAUAAAUUACAGUGACACUGCGGUUUCAUUUAAACUUUAAUGUGUAGUUUUUUGCUAAAAUCAGAAUGAGUUACCGGUGAUUCUUCCAAACUUCGCUUCAAUACAAACAUACACACAGUGACAACAUUGACUACCGGUGUAGUUUUUGUAUGAUAUUUAACAUUAACAUCUUUUCCGUUCAAUGUGAAACUCUUACUUAGACUNNNN